AUGGGGAGCGAUUUCAGCCAACARAUCUGUUGUGUGACUUGUUGGAGAUGCAAGAAGCAGGAGGCAGAGGAAGCAUUUGAAGAGACCAGUGAGACCAAGCCGAUCUUGCAGACCUUGGGGGAAACAUCGAUAUGCGUUGACAAGCAGCCUCCCACGCGGGUCCCGGAAGCCUCCGAAAGAGGCCCUGAGGAGGUGGAGUCACUGUGCUGGGACCACAGGCUGCUGGCUGGCAUCGCAAAGGACAGYGGAGAGACCUGCCCUGAUGCAGAACCUGUGGGAAUGACUGAGGGUCAGAAGGCAGCCUGGGACUUCGCAGAUUUCUUUGUGGCCUCUGCAGUUAUGGASACCAAAGGAGAAGCUGAAGUCUUAACCCAAUUAGAAAACCAGCAAAAAAGGGAGAAAGCGGGUAACACAGAAGAGAUGAAAACUAUUCCUCAGGCUUCUGAGGCCCAGCCUGUUUUACACACAGCUCAGGAUGUUAAGCUUAUUGCAGAUAAAGGACAAUUUGGUGAACAGGCUGAGRCUGGCAGUGAGGAUGCCCCAUGUGCUGAAAUAACUCUCCAAGAAACAGAUAUUCCCAAGCUGAAGCAGACCACUGGUGAGACUGCAGCUGGCCCUGGCUGUGAGAUCCAGCCUCCUGCAGAGACUGGUGAGAGUCUGAUGGGAAGGGACCUGUCACUGUAUGCUGUGCUCACGGCAGAGGAGACUGGGACCUACCCUCCUGCUGAGCAUACAGAAGAGACAGAGGGGGCUAAGCCUGCUGAAACAAGUCCUCAAUCUGCUGAGAGGGCCAAGCUCAUGUGUCUCUCUGAGACAGCAUCUCUACCUACUGUGCAGGCUACACAGAAGGCUAAGGAGACGGCGGAUCCUUCAGAAGUCGUACCGAAAGAUAUGUCUGAAAUGCAAUUUACUUCUGCGAUCUCGUAUGAGUGCCUGUAUACAGGAGGGAAAUUUCUAGAGCCAGCAAACCAGCUGCUUGACUUCUCAUGGCAAGAGAUCCAGCCUAGUGUGCUGACUGUGCAGGAGGUGCGGAGCCACUGCAGUACAGAGCCUGCUGAAGUAGGGGAGGUGGUUGGUCCUUCAGGUGACCAAGACAGAGUCGUCUGUGAUCUGGUGGAAGAUGAAGAGGUGACGGAAUGUGAUCCAAAAACUCCAGCAGCUGAGGCAGGGCAGCAGCAGAGAGUCAUGCAGCAAAUCACAGAUGAACCAUUACCUCGUACGGAGAUCGCUGUGGAAGAGGAAGCAGAGUGCCCGGAUGUGGCACCCUUGCUCUCUGAGGUACGUGGAGUGCAGWAA
rnacentral:lncRNA from 1 species